rnacentral:rRNA from 1 species
AAAGUCGUAACAAGGUUUCCGUAGGUGAACCUGCGGAAGGAUCAUUAUUGAAUAAACCUGAUGUGGUUGUAGCUGGCUUUUCGAAGCAUGUGCUCGCCCGUCAUCUUUAUCUCUCCACCUGUGCACCUUUUGUAGUCUUGGAAUACCUCUCGAGUUUGGAUCGCUGUGCUGUACAAGUCGGCUUUCCUUGCAUUUCCAAGACUAUGUUUUUAUAUAUACACCAAAGAAUGUUUAAAGAAUGUCAUCAAUAGGAACUUGUUUCCUAUAAAAACUAUACAACUUUCAGCAACGGAUCUCUUGGCUCUCGCAUCGAUGAAGAACGCAGCGAAAUGCGAUAAGUAAUGUGAAUUGCAGAAUUCAGUGAAUCAUCGAAUCUUUGAACGCACCUUGCGCUCCUUGGUAUUCCGAGGAGCAUGCCUGUUUGAGUGUCAUUAAAUUCUCAACCUACCAACUUUUAUUAGCUUGGUUAGGCUUGGAUGUGGGGGUUGCGGGCUUCAUUACGAGGUCGGCUCUCCUUAAAUGCAUUAGCGGAACUUUUGUGAACCGUCUAUUGGUGUGAUAAUUAUCUACGCCGUGGAUGUGAAGCAGCUUUAUAAGGUUCAGCUUCUAACCGUCCAUUGACUUGGACAAAUUUUGACAAUUUGACCUCAAAUCAGGUAGGACUACCCGCUGAACUUAA